UUGAGGUGCUGGCCCCUCGCUUCUCCUGCACACGCUCAGACAUGGUGUGGCAGAGGGUGUGCUGGAAGCUGCUGGAGACCGUCCCAGAGUGCUGGCUGGAGUGUGUUCUCACUGGGCUGGUGCAGGAUGUCAACUGUCAACAGCCUGACAGAGGUCCAGGAUCAUGGGGAAGCUGGUGUUGAAGGACAGAAAGUCCACUUAAAAAGCUGUUGUUAUAGCCGAAGUCUUCAACUUCACUCUUGUUUUGAGGAUUCUUCUGGGCUACCCGGCUCAGGACAGGGAGAGGCCACUACUUAUACAGGUGAGUGUACAACAGUCUUUGGUGUUGUGAUGAUAUGUGUGUAUUUUCAUGACAAUGUUGAUUGUGUGUGUGUGACUGCGUGUGUGUCCAGGUGCUGCGGUUGCUGUGCCAGGCCUGAGCCAACCCCCUCUGGAGCUUCAGCUCUAUGUGAGCCGGGCUCUGCUGCUGUGUGUGACUGAGUGAUGCAGAGCGACAGUAGCUACGCUCAGGUAACACCCCUAAUACUACGGCACAGUAUUGUCACACGAUCAGAGCUGUUCAUACUAGCUUCUGACCUGUCCGCCUCUUGAGUUAUAUUCAUUUUUACUAGGAAAACGACGAUAAACAUUUUGUUAUGGGAAGUGUACAUGUAGUCCCACCUUGUUGAAGUCUGUUUUCUUCUGUUUUGUGCCUACUGAUCACAACCCUAAUGUCUUUUCCCCUGUCAGAGUUACUGCAGUUCAUGCUGGGAGGGAUACAGAGCCACCUGGAUAGCAGGGUAGUGCAUGUGAGGGGCAUGGUGGUUGGGGGGUGUCUCCGCUCCUGCAUGGACAUCAACAGAGCUAAGCUCAAAUUUGAGGUAUACUACAGUAUGGCACCGUACCCAAGGUUUUGGGUGCAUCUCAAUAGUUUGAAGUGGCUUAUAUUCUGUUCUCUGCUCAUACUGCUCUGAAUGAACUGGACGGGUGAAAACAAAUACCAUAAUGCUUUCACCUAUCUGCUGUUCAGAUCAGUGCAAAUGAAAGAAAGGAGAUAGGAAGCCACUGUAGACUAUUGAGGUGCACCCCUACAAUAGGCUUUGCCUGCCUUAUUAUAAUUAAUGUGUAGGACACAGGGAAGGGUGUGUGUUCAGUGUUUCUUUCCCUCAGGAUGAGGAGACCAAGGAUCUGCUCUCACUGAUGACUCCAAUGUCUGAUGAAGAAACGGAGUCGCUUAAUGACAGAUUGGCUCGUCCUCGAGGUCAAAGGGCAGACUAUACCAUCCCAGGCUGCUUCAGUGGCCCAGAAAUCAGGAGCUGACCCAGACUCUUGUUAUACACUACAUUUAUUAACAUAAUGUUGUCUGUGAGACUGAAGUUGUAUAUUUAAUUCAAAUCAUUACAACUUAAUGAAUCUUCCCACGGGCAGUUAAGAAGGCAUGGUAUAGAGCUCGCCAACUUGUAGUCCGAAAAAACAUAAAUGCUUCAAAAAUCACAAAAGUUAGAUUAACUGAUGAAGAUUAUCUUAUUGAGCAGAACAUAUAAGAUCUCCUAAGCCUGUGUUUACCACAGACCUUAUUUUCGGUGUUUAUCCAAAAACCCUCCAAAAAGGCCAUUAAUUUCCCCAUAGCCUUGUCCAACAAACCAUGGUGGAGUUAGUGCCUACAAAAAGAUGCCAUUUCUAUUUCUCUACAGUAGUGUUGUAAUAACUAGGCUCUAUGUCCCUGUCCUGUGUUUGUAUGAACCAGUGAUGAUUCGCUCACCCACUACUGAAAAGGUGAUGAGACAAGCCGCCCCGCCUUGCUACCUCCGAGACUGUCUUGGAGAGUAAGAUACAGUAUAUACAGUACAUUCGGAAAGUAUUCAGACCCCUUCCCCAUUUUGUUACAGCCUUAUUCUAAAAUGGAUUAAAUGAAACAUUGGACUCUGCAAGGUGUUGAAAGUGUUCCACAGGGAUGCUGGCCCAUGUUGACUCCAAUGCUUCCCACAGUUGUCAAGUUGUUUGGCUGGCCUUUGGGUGGUGGAUCUUUCUUGAUACACACAGGAAACCGUUGAGAGCAGGGUUCGCACAAGGUGCUUAAAGUACUUGAAUUUGGCACUCUAAAAUUCAAGUACUGGAAGACCUUGAAAAUCAGACCUUUUCUCAAGUUAGUACUUGAAAAGUACUUGAAUUAAAAUGAGAGCAGAGCAGAACAUGAUCAAAUAUGUUAUUUCCUUACGUGUUUUCCUUUCACCACAAUGGCACUCAGCCAGGCAGGUACAGAAUUGAUUGAUUAAGCGCCGCCAAACAUCACAUCGAUAGCUAAAAUGCCGGGCAAAUGUAGAUUUAUUCCUGCCUGACAGGAUAUUGAUGUUAAUGAAUGGGUUUUGCCAGACAACCAGGGAUUUUUACUUGUGAAAUAGCGUUUACUUACCAUAUUUUGUUAAUUAUUGUUUACCCACUUAUUACGUUCCCAGCAUUGAUCAACGCUCAGAAGGAUUUUUGAUCAGAGUUCUAAUUGCGCCUACCUCUGCGAACAAGUGGAAUCAUGAGUGAUUCAUGUAUGUUCGUUAUGUUCGCCUGCUCCCCGGAUUUGCCUUGAAGGCAGCUCAUUCAUUGCCUACUCUGUCCAAGGGGAAAUUCCGCCCACGACAUAGGCGGAGAGGUGAAAGGAACUAACUCAACCCAGACAAUGGCAAGUGUCAGACGCCGUUGACAGCGGGGAUUUUUUUUAACAUCCCUCGACUCCUGCGGUGUCAACGGACAUCCCCAAAACGAAAAACCCCUGGCUCUCGGAGAAUGAGUGUGCAACUGGUAAAUAGUCGCUGCUAUUUCAGUCAGAUGUCUAGCUAGCUCGGUAGCGCUAGGACUCUGGCUAUAACUAGCUGACUAGAAGGAUGCAAUUAGAAGCUAACGUCGAACGGAGCCUGACCUCUGCAGGAGCAGUUGACAAAUUAAGAUGGCUAUAAUCAAAAGAUUGGCUACAAUAAUUUAUCAUAACAAAAAACAUUAUUUACAGAGAGUAGUAAAACAGACAGCGGUAAGUCAGGCUGCAAUGGAGGCAAAGGAAGAUCCAAAGAGGAAGCAUUGAAGCAAGCAGGGAGAGAGACAGUAUUACAGUUGUACCCAAACUUGUGGUCCCAUAAGUUUUAAAUAGGGUCCCCUGAGAGAGUCCUUCAUCUUAUUAAACACAAUAACUUGUAUCUCUUCAAAUGGGUAUAGAAUGCAACAUUUUAGAGUCAACUAAAGGAGGGGCAUUUUACACUGUCAGAAUUCACUUUCAUGUCAUUGUGUUGGGACAGCUUCUGGGUCCCAAAAUGUUGAGUUAUAAAGACAAUUUAAAUAUUAUCAUGUACACUGAACAAAAAUAUAAAUGCAACAUGCAACAAUUUAAAAUAUUAUACUGAGUUAGUUCAUAUGAGAAAAUCAGUCAACAUCAUCAGUACUGACUUUACCACUCUUGUGUAGUAAAUAAGUAGUGAAACGUAUUAUUGAGUAGAACUUGUAAGGCAGUGAUGAAUAGUACGUAAUCUUUUUCAUGUGGUUGAUAUACUGCAAUCUGGUGGUGACUAAACAUUUGCAUAAUAGGAACUAUUACAAAUGGAUAAUCCUUGAAAAUAAGUAUUAGUGCUUGAAAGUCCUUGCAUUUGACUUGCCACUGUCUGUACGAACCCUGUGAGCGUGAAAAACCCAGCAGCUUUGCAGUUCUUGACACAAACCGGUGCGCCUGGCACCUACUACCAUUCCCCGUUCAGAGGAACUUUAAUCUUUUGCCUUGGCCAUUCACGCUCUGAAUGGCACACAUACACAAUCCAUGUCUCAAGGAUUUAACAUCAAUAAGGGAUCAUAGCAUUCACCUGGAUUCACCUGGUCAGUCUGUCAUGGUGUCCACAACGUUUUGUACACUUAGUGUACAUACCAUGCACAAUUUUGACAAGGUGGAUGAUACAUACUGAAUUUAUACUGUUUUUCAUACUAAGAUGGGUUGCUUUUUCACAUAUUUGUUUUUGCAAGAGUUGAUGGGUCGGUUCAUUGGUUUUCGAAUAUGUGCAUGCCAUUGAUUAAGAAUAGGAUGCAAUGUCCACCCCAAAAUAUAAGCUUGUUUUACUCCAUUGUUUGUAAACAAUAUAAUUGUACAAAUAAAUUGGUUACAUAAAUAAUGACUAAAUGUUACAUGAAAUGUAAAUAAGAAAUAUCUCAACCAUCUCAACCAUCAAAUAUCUCAAUGUUAAUAUGUAUUGGCAAUAAUUCACUUAAUGGUGAGGUAUAGAAUAAUACAACAUGUAUCUUUUCUCACACUGGAUGUUUGAAAUAUGAGCAGGUGAUUUGAGUCAUGCUUCUUCAGUAGUGGAAUAAAGACAAUUAGCACUUCAAUGUUCUUAAUCAAUACUGUGUAAUUACUGAAUUGAUGUAUGAUUAUUAAUACAAUUGUUCAUAGACCAAUUUGAUACUGUGUCCAUUUGUAUGAAACUACAUUGAAAUUACCUGAAAAAAGUAUUUAACUUUCAACCAAAACCAAAAGUAGGAUAUUAGGAAGAUGUUCUUAAUGUUUUGUACACAAUGUAUACUGUCCAGAAUGUAUCCUUGCCAUGGCAUACUACACAGUGCCUUCGGGAAAGUAUUCAGACCCCUUGACUUUUUCCACAUUGUUACGUUACAGCCUUAUUCUGAAAUUAAAUUGUCCCCCCCCCCCCCUCAAACUACACACAGUACCCCAUAAUGACAAAGCAAAAACAGGUUUAGAAUUUUUUGCAAAUGUAUUACAAAUUUUUAAAAACUCACAUUUUACAUAAGUAUUCAGACCCUUUAAGUACUUUGUUGAAGGACCUUUGGCAGCGAUUACAGCAUCAAGUCUUGGGUAUGACGUUACAAGCACCUCCUGCGUUGUCUUGGCUGUGUGCUUAGGGUUGUUGUCCCGUUGGAAGGUGAGCCUUCACCCCAGUCGGAGGUCCUGAGCGCUCUGGAGCAGGUCUUCACCAAGGAUCUCUGUACUUUGCACCAUUUAUCUUUACCUCGAUCCUGACUAGUCUCCCAGUUCACGCCACUGAAAAACAUCCGCACAGCAUGAUGCUGCCACCACCAUGCUUCACCAUAGGGAUGGUUUUGGCCAGGUGAUUAGCAGUGCCUGGUUUCCUCCAGACGUGAUGCUUGGCAUUGAGGCCAAAAAGUUCAAUCUUGGUUUCAUCAGACUAGUGUCUUGUUUCUCAUGAUCUGAGAGUCCUUUAGGUGCCUUUUGGCAAACUCCAAGCGGGCUGUCAUGUGCCUUUUACUGAGGAGUGGCUUCCGUCUGGCCACUCUACCAUAAAGGCUUGAUAGGUGGAGUGCUGCAUAGAUGGUUGUCCUUCUAGAAUGUUCUCCCAUCUCCACAGAGGAACUCUGGAGUGCUGUCAGUGUGACCAUCUGGUUACUGGUCACCUCCCGGACCAAGGCCCUUCUCCCCUAAUUGCUCAGUUUAGCGGGGAGGCCAGCUCUAGAAGAGUCUUGGUGGUUCUAAACUUCCAUUUAAGAAUUAUCAAGGCCACUGUGUUCUUGGGAGACCUACAAUGCUGCAUACCUUUUUUGGUACCCUUCCCCAGAUCUGUGCCUCGUCACAAUCCUGUCUCGGAGCUCUAGGGACAAUUCCUUCGACCUCGGCUUGGUUUUUCCUCUGACAUGCACUGUCAACUGUGGGACCUUAUAUUAGACAGGUCAUGCCUUACCAAAUCAUGUCCAAUCAAUUGAAUUUCUCAGGUGCACUCCAAUCAAGUUUCUAAAAACAUCUCAAGGAUGAUCAAUGGAAACAGGAUGCAUCUGAGCUCAAUUUCGAGUCUCCUAGUAAAGCGUCUGAAUCCUUAUGUAAAUAAGGUAUUGCAAACAUUUCUGAACCUGUUUUCGCUUUAUUAUGGUGUAAUGUGUAGAUUUGUUUUUAAAUGCAUGUUAGAAUAAGGCUGUAACAAAAUGUGGGAAAAGGGAAGGGGUCUGAAUACUGUUUGAACAUAUGAAUCUGGAAAUAAAUUGUCUUGCAAUA